GCGAGCUUAGCUCAGUGGUAGAGCUCCACCUUGCCAAGGUGGUUGUCAGGGGUUCAAAUCCCCUAGCUCGCU
rnacentral:tRNA from 1 species